GGAAGGCAUCCGUAUCCGGUGGUGCGGCUGAGCUUCAAACUCAGUAGGGGGCGUCAGCCGCUCCCUGGUAGGUUCGACUCCUGCUGCCUUCC
rnacentral:tRNA from 1 species